GGUGACUAUAGCAUCAGGGUUCCACCUCUUCCCAUUCCGAACAGAGAAGUUAAGCCUGAUCACGCCGAUGGUACUGCAUAACAGUGGGAGAGUAGGUAGUCGCCGUUU
rnacentral:rRNA from 3 species